AAGAGUAGUUUUAGCCCUUGCCGUGAGUAGAAGUAAAGAGAAGCUGUUGUAAUAGGAGUAGCCCUUGCCCCAAGAAGAAGCUGCUGGGGAAGAGAGAUGUAAAAGAAAAAGCCCGAAGGUAAAGUGCUGCGUGAACCCGACUUGGUGUCUGUGUCGUUUGUGUCGCCGCUGGCCCAGAGGACCAAACGAUACCCUGGUCCAGUGAGUCUUUGCUCUCCUCAGUCUUAGAUCUGCUUCCUCACACAGCACAAUCAAGGCAUUGUGGACAUAUGACGUCAUGAUUGACAUUAGACUCUAAUGUCUCACCCUGCACAGUGGUCUCUGACUUUCCUCCUCAGAGAGGCAGGUGACCCUAUUAUGUAAUCACAUUUGCUACAGCUGUUUCCAAACAGGUCUGCGUUGAUGUUUUAAAAAGGAUAGAGUUUUAAGGGACACUCAUCCUAUCUGGCCAAUACUUGUGAUCAGUGGCACAGGCAGGUCUGACUUUCUCAGAAUCUCCAUGUUCUGUUACCUGACUCACGUGUCUGAGGGCAGUGACAUCAGGAUGUCCCCACACUGAGAGGUGUCCCCAGCAGCUCAUACAUGUGAUGUUGGACACUUGCAGCUGUGUAGGCAGAGGAUAUAAGAGGGUUUGGCUGGGACAAUGGCAACUUUAGGUGGUGCAGAAAACACAGUCAUCAAGGAACACAGCCCUCUGCCUUCAGGGUGAUUGCAACAGCUGACUAGACCACCAUGAAAGAUCUGGGGAGAUGGAGCUUUGGGAGGCACAUGCCAGACCAUACUCUGUUCUCAUUGCUUCAGAUGGUGUCUGGAGCUGCAGAGAACUUCUCUCAGGCUGGAAGAUAGUCUGUUCUGCCAUGGUUAAGAGGGACCAGCUGCAGAGAUUUGUACUUCAGGGAAAUAAAUGUGUCCUUGCUAGCAAAGACUUUCCUACCAUGCAAGUGACUAGAUUGCCUCUGAGGCCACGUGUAUUCGUGACCAUCUCUAAUGUCCUUUACAGAAAUUACACCUAAAGGGCAUUCCCCCAUCUCCUUGCUGGCAGAGAGAUGCCUUCUUCAGGUGGAAUGGAUUGCUUUUCUAGAGUAUAGUUUUGUAACCACUUGAGGAGAGUCAAGCCUUAUAGGUGUAGGCGUCAAAGCGGCAUUAAUAAAGCUGCGCUCUUAUUAAUAAUAGGUGGUAGCGUUCUGAGGAGAAUGGAGUGCAGUCCUAACAAGAAGCGGCAGAACUGGGCAGAAGACAUAUGGAGUGUGCGGCAGAGCAGGACAGCCAUGCACCAAGACACUAGGGAAUCCAAGAGGAGCAGCAAAUCAAGCCUCCAACCCCAGGGAUCUAACAUGCCAAUACAGCGGCUUCUAUGGUCAUGUUCUCCCCUGCCAGCAUGACUCCCUGCUGAAAUCUUCCUCUGAACCAUUGCAACUAUAAGCCAGAGAUGAGCUGUCACGUGAGAUCUAAAGAACCUGGAGUAUAUUCUGGAGCUCAGUUAGUACCUGAGGUUUGGCGUAUCUAGAAACUCAGCCAGCCUGGCUGCGGCAGAACAGCGUGGGACAGGGGAAGCAUCAGGGCUCAGCCUUCACAUCUAUGACUAAGCUUCCCCGGCUUGCCCGGUGACCGCUAGAAGGCUGUUGAAACUCUGGUGAAACUGUGGUAUUUAUUUUUUUAAAGUAGCUUUAUUGGGCUGAAUUUUAUUAAUUGGUAUGCAACAAACAAUAUAUAUUUGAAAUAUGAAUUUCAGUGAGAAUAUUAAUUCCAUAUGCACUUAUGAACCCAUGUGCUCUUUUGAUGGUAAAUCAGUCUGAAGUUCUGAGAUGUUUGCAUAACUGGGUGAUGCCGUUUAUUACUCUUUUAAAAAAUCUAGGUGCUUUCAGAAAGUGGAAUGAAUACGGCUCAUCGGUGUUAGAUACAUCAAAAGCUGGUGCCCUCUUGUACGGAGCCACGUCCCGUUGUAUGGCAAUGCCCCCUAUUUGUUUAUCCGCAUGUUCACAAACAUCUGACCAGUUGCAAGCUUUUUCAGAUAAGGUGACACAAAUGUCACUGUGCACAUGUUUUUACUGACCUCACCACUUUCUCUUGGGUAAAUACCUCGGAGUGGAAGUUCUGAAUCCUGUGGCUGCCACAUGUUUUAUUUGUUUAAGGCUCUGAAACAAUAUUUUCCAAGGUGAUUGUGCCAUUUCUCACCUCACCCACAGGCAGACUUCCAGAUCCCUCUGCACACUCACAAAUGCUUGCCUUGGCUGGGGUCUUUAUCUUAGCUGUUUAUUUCUGGAUUCAGUUCUAUUGACUUAUGUGUCUGACUCCAGAUGUCAGGCCACUAGGUGUUCAUCUUAGAACAUCAUGGUGAGUUUUUAAGUUGGCUAUGUGAGACCUCCAGCUUUGUGCCUUUUUGGAAAGUUAUUUUGUGCGAUCCAGGUCUUCUCAUUUCCACAUGAAUUCUAUCGUCCGUUUUCCACUCUCUUUCCUCUCCCUCUCCCUCUCUCUGCCUUCUAACAUACCACAUACACACCUAGCUAGGACCUUGGCAGGUGUGGACUGAACCUUCUGAGUUAGCUGGGGGACAAUUGGCUCUAUGAACAUUGAUCUAAGUAUGCAUUUAUUUAGCAUAUCUUAUCAUUUCUCUCGGGAAUGUUUUAUAAUUUUCAGUCUUUCAAAUGUUUUAUCAGAUUGGUCCUUAUGAAAUUUGUGCUUUAUACUAUUAAAAUGGUAUUGUGUUU
rnacentral:lncRNA from 1 species